CAGUAGCCGCGGGAAUACGUAGGUGGCAAGCGUUGUCCGGAAUUAUUGGGCGUAAAGGGCUCGCAGGCGGUUUCUUAAGUCUGAUGUGAAAGCCCCCGGCUCAACCGGGGAGGGUCAUUGGAAACUGGGAAACUUGAGUGCAGAAGAGGAGAGUGGAAUUCCACGUGUAGCGGUGAAAUGCGUAGAGAUGUGGAGGAACACCAGGGGCGAAGGCGACUCUCUGGUCUGUAACUGACGCUGAGGAGCGAAAGCGUGGGGAGCGAACAGGAUUAGAUACCCCCGUAGUCCCUGUCUCUUAUAA
rnacentral:rRNA from 1 species